UAGGAGAUGUUGGGUAUCUGGAUGC
rnacentral:piRNA from 1 species